rnacentral:tRNA from 1 species
UCCCUGGUGGCUCAGAGGUUAAAGCGUCUGCCUGCAAUGCGGGAGACCUGGGUUCAAUCCCUGGGUGGGGAA